UUUUAAUAUUUGCUUCAUAUUUUCCAUGCAUGUAGGUGCCAGAUGCCUUAACUUACCUCAGUGUCCUUGCUUUUGUCUCAUAUAUUAUCUUUCCUCUUUAGAAGGACUGUGUAUCUUGUAGCUCCUCCAGCUAUAAUCCACAAUUAUCCUGAAAGUCUGUUAACGUGUAGAUGAGACAUGGGUAAGGAACACAAGAGGAUUUUUCCUGGUUCUUCAUCAUUAAGAUCUGUUUGGGUUCAAGGCAUUAAAACCCACAAAAGUGUAGAGGAUUCCCUAAUACUGUGGUCCCCAGAAGUUCGUCAGUCUCAUGCUGUCACUCUCACACUCAGUACCUAGCAGUUCAUCAAAACUGCCACUCAAAGGCUUUUAUUAGUAUAUGGACUCAGCUGCUUCUGCUCAAAGCAGCAAGUGCUCUCCUUCUGUUUUUCAUGCAUGUGGGAGUCUCCAGCAUUUACAUUAGCAAGAGUAACAGCCGUGGUGGCAGCAUCUGGAUCCUUGAUUGACAGCAUUAUGGAAAGUUACUGGCCAGAUACUCCUUACUUAAGUUGGCACCAAUCAACUUGCCUGGGGAUCAGUCAAAUGGGGUGAGGUGAGGGGGACUUCAGGAGAUCCUUCCCAGAUGGAUGCCAAAUUCCUUUGAUAGCCCUGUCAUUGUCAAGAAUUUCUUCAAGUUUAUGUGUAUAAGAAUAAAAUCUUGUUCAAGUUUAUGAUGAUUUCUUCCACAUGUUAAGACCCUUUUUAUGACACAGAACAAAGGCCAAAAUCAUUCAAGUAGAGGCAAACGGAGGGUUCAAAAGAUCUAUUGGCUGACACACAAUUUGAUGCAUUAUUAAACUACAUAUUUCACCAUGUGAUAGAGAAUUCAUUUUUCAAUGUGUUAGAUGAAAUAAAAUUUCUACCAAAAUGAAAGAACCCUUUUGAGAUGUCAGAUUUACAGCACAGCUGAAAAGAUUAAUGACUUCAACCCAGAGAAAUUUUAUUUACAGAUAAUGCAAAGAAAGAACAAGCUGAUUUCAUAGUUUGACACCAACGAAUGAACAGAACAUUUAUCUAGUAAAACUAUCACUUUCUUUUAGAUGCCAAGAGCAAAUUUGCUGAGGUUAACCACAAAUGAAGAUUUAUAGUAUAUAAGGGUUAGAUGAAAUACUAAAAAACCUUAACUUUCUGAUGUUUAAUUCCUCGGCAAAUGUCUGCUUUUGUCAGGCUAUGCUUUGAGACCACCAGUGAUAGAAGUUCUCUACUUUCUGAGGCAGACAAUUGAAAAGUAUAUCCUUGUCUUUCAUGGAACUUAUUAACCCUCUAGAUAAUAUGAUCUAACAAUAUCUGUGGUAUCUGAUACCACUUAUGUUAGUCUGCUUUCCAGAUAUUUGAAGGCAACCAUUUUAUCCUACCACUCUUCCUAUUUUGACUCAGCCAUUUUCAGGACAGCUGACUCACCUUCCAACAAUUAUGGUUUGUAUAUUUUAUAACCAUUUAUUUCCCUUGCAUACAUUUCAAUUUGAAUAUAGUUCCUAAAGUGUAAUUCUUAAAACUAAGUAAGACUAAAUUUGAACCAACCAUUCUGGAAUAUAACACAUUUAAUAAUUACAAACCAAG
rnacentral:lncRNA from 10 species